rnacentral:misc_RNA from 1 species
UUUCCGUAGGUGAACCUGCGGAAGGAUCAUCACUGACAUUGUUUUAUGAUUCUGUGUGAACUGUGAUAUACGGGCGUGUGUUGGUGGGGGCAAGUUAGUAAGGGGCGGUGGUUGGUGGGGCGUGGUGUGCGUGGUGGCACGGGAGCAGUAGCGCCCAUGUCACGUCGCGUGUCGCGUCGCAUCGCACCGGCCCUCGUGCCGUGUGGCUGGCUCUCCGUCAGGGGGACAGCCACGCCUGCCGACAGCGUCUAGAUUUCAAACAACUUUUGUCAGGCUUUGUAACUAACACUUGUAUUUCAAACAUAAUUUGACAACUUUCAACAAUGGAUCUCUUGGCUCUC